UGGCCAGGGAUGAAAAUAAUAAUGCUGAUUACUUGAUGAUUGCUUGAUGGAUAAAAGGAUUUUCUGAGGCCA
rnacentral:snoRNA from 1 species